rnacentral:rRNA from 1 species
GACGAACGCUGGCGGCGUGCCUAAUACAUGCAAGUAGGACGCACAGUUUAUACCGUAGCUUGCUACACCAUAGACUGUGAGUUGCGAACGGGUGAGUAACGCGUAGGUAACCUACCUAUUAGAGGGGGAUAACUAUUGGAAACGAUAGCUAAUACCGCAUAACAGUAUGUAACACAUGUUAGAUGCUUGAAAGAUGCAAUUGCAUCGCUAGUAGAUGGACCUGCGUUGUAUUAGCUAGUAGGUAGGGUAAAGGCCUACCUAGGCAACGAUACAUAGCCGACCUGAGAGGGUGAUCGGCCACACUGGGACUGAGACACGGCCCAGACUCCUACGGGAGGCAGCAGUAGGGAAUCUUCGGCAAUGGGGGGAACCCUGACCGAGCAACGCCGCGUGAGUGAAGAAGGUUUUCGGAUCGUAAAGCUCUGUUGUUAAGGAAGAACGAGUGUGAGAAUGGAAAGUUCAUGCUGUGACGGUA